GCCGUCGUGGCGGAAUGGGAUACGCGAUUGACUCAAAAUCAAUUGUCCGCAAGGGCAUGUGGGUUCGACUCCCACCGACGGCA
rfam:Candidatus Staskawiczbacteria bacterium RIFOXYB1_FTLL_37_44 rifoxyb1_full_scaffold_298, whole genome shotgun sequence.